rnacentral:tRNA from 1 species
GGUAAAAUGGCCGAUAAUAGGCGAUAAAUUGUAAAUUUAUUUAUGAAUAUAAAUUCUUUUACCAAA